CCUAUCCGCCCUCCUGUCGCACUCGGUUUGGUCAUGCCACCGGAUUCGCGCACCAUCAGACAGCGUUGUGACUGCGGUGGAUGCUCCACGUUGUUGCCCUUCGACUUUUCAAACUGGUAUUUUCAAAACUGCAGCUCUUUGCGCCAGAAGUACGAGUUAGUUGGUGAUGGUGUAUAAGCUGAUGUUGCUACUGCACGUGUCCCCUCUGCCAGGGCUGGUCCAGCUAACUACCAUGUGUGGUUCUCAUGGAGCUAUCUUCUGCAGCUAGCGCUGAAUUGUCAGUGGUUAGGUUACUUAAGCUCCAACCCAAGGGUGCGCGAUGGAAGCUGAGCGAGCUAACCGCUAGCCCGCGAGCUAAUAACGAGCGCUAGCUCGCGAGCUAAUAGCGCUAGCUCGCGAGCUAAUAGCGAGCGCCAGCACAGACCUGUUUUAAUUUAAUUCUGCAUGUAUUGAGUUCUCAACACGUAACUUAGAAUUUGCAAUGUCAUCCUCACAGUUGUACAGAAGUGACAACACUGUUGAUCGCCAUCUCUACAAUUCAGGUAAGCACACAUUCUUUGGAAGGAAAUGUUUUCACAGCAACUUAAAGACACAUUUGAGAGGGAACCGUAUAACCUGUUUAACUUUAUAAUGACCAGAUUUGUAUUAAUUCAUUAAAAUACUAUCUUAAUAGCGUAGUGUUUGUUAGGAUCUGUGUGUUUCCUGUUUUAUGUUGAAGUCCCUGUCUCGUUUCCUGUUUCCCUGCUCUUCCCUCCCUGUGCUUGUCUGUUUCUUUCCUGAUUGUUUCCAGCCACGCCCUGAUUGUUUCCACCUGUGUCUCGUUCCCCUGUGUAUUUAAUCUGUGUCCUUCUGUUUGUCUGGUGUCAGAUCGUCUUUUUUCGUUCCCGUGUGGUGUUGUCCGUGUUCCUGUACUGAGAAUAAACUCAGUUUUUCGUGAAACUCCUGCUGCGUUUGGGUCCUCCACACCACGCAUCCGUAACAGUGUUUUUAUAAAAAUGACUUGACAUGCUAUAUAAGCACUACAAAUUAAUACAAUUGAGAACAAAUAGAUAUUGUAUAUUUCCUGAAAGAAAAGAUGCAUUUCAAACAUUGUUUGUAUUUUGGUUUGUUUUAGAUAAAAUGAACAGAAAGAAUGGGCCUGUCUCCAGCUCCACCAUUAGACGGAGGGUCCGUCAAGAUGUUUUGACUACAUCACUGUGAUUGAUGGGAAACUGAAUACAACUUUGACUGAUGUUCCACUUCAUAGAAUUGUUGACUAACAAAACGGUAGCAGUAGUGCCACAAAGCUAUACCAGCUUUGUGGCACUACUGCUACCGUUUUGGCCGAAUUAUCCGAGGGACGAAAGGGUGGACAAGGCUGUCAGAAGCGCCGAACAACCUGGACCAGACUGGCAGACACGUGACGUCAGAGUAAUUGGAUCAUGCGAUAAUUACUUGGUGGAAAUAUAUGUCUUGCGACACAUCAGAUCUCCAGUCAGAAGAGGAGGCAAUUCCUAAAAAGAGGAAGCCAAUGCCGGUGACAGCGAACACGCCAGGGGGACACGCCCACCUGGCGAGGGGCGUGGUGUGGUUCAGACACCAUUGCCUGCUGUGCUGUUCCAGUUCAAAUCCUAGGCAUGCUGGAGACAAUUACAGAGGUGAGAGACCCGGUUCCGUUUCCGUGUACCACAAUGGAGGAAGUGGACCUUUUUGAGCAACGGCUCAAAGAUCCCGUCAACAUUCUAAUGAGUGAUGCCGUCAGAAAGAAUCAUGCCACACAUGCAUCCACUGAUGAACAGAUUCUAAAGCAUGCCAUUAGGUGGUUCAACCUGGCAGCAAACCGGGGUAGCUCCAGGAGGCGUGCUACUGUCGA